rnacentral:rRNA from 1 species
UGGCGGACGGGUGAGUAAUGUCUGGGAAACUGCCUGAUGGAGGGGGAUAACUACUGGAAACGGUAGCUAAUACCGCAUAACGUCGCAAGACCAAAGAGGGGGACCUUCGGGCCUCUUGCCAUCGGAUGUGCCCAGAUGGGAUUAGCUGUGGUGGGGUAACGGCUCACCAGGCGACGAUCCCUAGCUGGUCUGAGAGGAUGACCAGCCACACUGGAACUGAGACACGGUCCAGACUCCUACGGGAGGCAGCAUG